rnacentral:rRNA from 1 species
UACGAAGGGGGCUAGCGUUGCUCGGAAUCAUUGGGCGUAAAGGGUGCGUAGGCGGGUCUUAAGUCAGGGGUGAAAUCCUGGAGCUCAACUCCAGAACUGCCUUUGAUACUGAAGAUCUUGAGUUCGGGAGAGGUGAGUGGAACUGCGAGUGUAGAGGUGAAAUUCGUAGAUAUUCGCAAGAACACCAGUGGCGAAGGCGGCUCACUGGCCCGAUACUGACGCUGAGGCACGAAAGCGUGGGGAGCAAACAGG